rnacentral:rRNA from 1 species
UACAGAGGUCCCAAGCGUUGUUCGGAUUCACUGGGCGUAAAGGGUGCGUAGGUGGUGAGGAAAGUCUGAUGUGAAAUCUCCAGGCUCAACCCGGAAAUGGCAUUGGAAACUACCUUGCUCGAGGAUUGGAGGGGGGACUGGAAUACUUGGUGUAGCAGUGAAAUGCGUAGAUAUCAAGUGGAACACCAGUGGCGAAGGCGAGUCCCUGGACAACUCCUGACACUGAGGCACGAAAGCUAGGGGAGCAAACAGG